UACGGAGGGUGCAAGCGUUAUCCGGAUUCACUGGGUUUAAAGGGUGCGUAGGCGGGUUGGUAAGUCCGUGGUGAAAUCUCCGAGCUUAACUCGGAAACUGCCGUGGAUACUAUCAAUCUUGAAUAUCGUGGAGGUAAGCGGAAUAUGUCAUGUGGCGGUGAAAUGCUUAGAUAUGACAUAGAACACCAAUUGCGUAGGCAGCUUACUACACGAUCAUUGACGCUGAGGCACGAAAGCGUGGGGAGCAAACAGG
rnacentral:rRNA from 1 species